GGAGAGAUGGCUCAGCGGUUAAGAGCACUGGCUGCUCUUCCAGAGGUCCUGAGUUCAAAUCCCAGCCACCACA
rnacentral:tRNA from 1 species